ACGAACGGCUGGCGGCGCGCUUAACACAUGCAAGUCGAGCGAGAAACCGGUCCUUCGGGACCGGGGAAAGCGGCGAACGGGUGAGUAACACGUGGGUAAUCUGCCCCUCGGGUUAUCGGGAUAGCCCCGGGGGAAACCCGGGAUUAAUACCGAAUGGGCCCCUUUCGAGUUCUCGAAUUCUGAAGGAAAAAGGUAGCUUCGGGCCUCCGACCGAGGAUGAGCCCCGCGGCGGAUUAGCUUGUUGGUGGGGGUAACGGCCUACCAAGGCGACGAUCUGUAGCCUGGUCUGAAGAGGGACGAUCAGCCACACUGGGACUGAGAACACGGCCCAGACUCCUACGGGAGGCAGCAGUGGGGGAAUCUUGCGCAAUGGGCGAAAGCCUGGACGCAGCGACGCCGCGUGGCGGGAAGAAGGGCCUUCGGGUUGUAAACCGCUUUCAGGAGGGACCGAAGCCACUACGGGUGAAUAGCCCAGAGGGUGGACGGUACCUCCCAGAAGAAGCCCCGGCUAACUACGUGCCAGCAGCCGCGGUAAUACGUAGGGGGCUAGCGUUGUCCGGAUUUAUUGGGCGUAAAAGAGCGUGUAGGCGGCCAGAUAGGUCCGUUGUGAAAACUGGGAGGCUUAAAACCUCCCAGCCGUCCGAUGGAAACCAUUUGGCUAGAGUUCCGGAAGAGGAGAGUGGAAUUCCUGGUUGUAGCGGUUGAAAUGCGCAGAUAUCAGGAAGAAACACCCGUGGCGAAGGCGGCUCCUCUUGGGACGGUACUGACGCUGAGACGCGGAAAAGCCGUGGGGAGCGAAACAGGAUUAGAUACCCUGGUAGUCCACGCCGUAAACGAUGGGUGCUAAGGUGUGGGCGGUGUCGACUCCGUCCGUGCCGAAGCUAAACGCAUUAAGCACCCCGCCUGGGGAGUACGGCCCGCAAGGCUAAAACUCAAAGGAAUUGACGGGGGGCCCGCACAAGCAGCGGAAGCAUGUUGUUUUUAAUUCGACGCGACGCGAAGAACCUUACCAAGGCUUGACAUGCACGGGAAUGUCGUAAGAAAAAUACGGCAGCCCUUCGGGGCUCGUGCACAGGUGGUGCAUGGCUGUCGUCAGCUCGUUGUCGUGAGAUGUUGGGGUUAAGGUCCCGCAACGAGCGCAACCCCUGUCCCAUGUUGCCAGCGUGAAAGACGGGGACUCAUGGGGAACUGCCGGUGACAAAAUCGGAGGAAGGUUGGGGAUGACGUCAAGUCAUCAUGCCCCUUAUGUCCUUGGGCUACAAACGUGCUACAUUGGCCGGUACAAAGGGCUGCAAAACCUGCGAGGGUGGAGCGAAUCCCCAAAAAGCCGGUCCCGGUUUCGGAUUGGAGGCUGAAACUCCGCCUCCAUGAAGGGCGAGUUGCUAGUAAUCGCCGGAUCAGCAAACGCCGCGGUGAAUUAUGUUCCCGGGCCUUGUACACAACCGCCCGUUCACACCACGAAAGUUGGCAAUACCCCGAAGGCCGGUGGCCUAACCCGCAAGGGAGGGAGCCGUCUGAAGGUAGGGUCGAUGAUUGGGGUG
rnacentral:rRNA from 1 species